CCGAGUUUACAACUCCCAAACCCCUGUGAACAUACCACUUGUUGCCUCGGCGAAUCAGCCCGCUCCCGGUAAAACGGGACGGCCCGCCAGAGGACCCCUAAACUCUGUUUCUAUAUGUAACUUCUGAGUAAAACCAUAAAUAAAUCA
rnacentral:misc_RNA from 1 species